rnacentral:piRNA from 1 species
UGGUAUUAGCUUCACUUCCAUGCCCCGUGG